AGCAGUGACCCUGAACAUCCUUUCCACUCAGUACCAAAUGCAGUCAAUCCUGUGACUUGAUGGUGUGUGGACAUCACUUUCAGAUACUGGCCAUAGGUCAUGAAACACAAGGAAAGAUGGAGGAACUGUCACAGACCAGGGGAGAUGACAACUAAGUGCAAUAUGGUGUCCUGGAUGGAAUCCUGGAACAGGAAAGAGACAACUUUGGAAAGAUCAGAGAAAUCCCAACAGAACUAUAGGAAUCUGAACUGUGCAAAAGAAUUAUCACUCACUGCAAGUCCCAGAGUGAACACUUUCUAUGAGAUACUCCAACAGCACAAUGUGUCAUGGAGCCAGGGGGACUGGGUUCGAAUCCCAGUUCUGCAGCAUAGCAGUUAUCUUUGGAUGCAUCACGUAACCUGUCUGACCUCCUGUUUCCUUUGGGAGAAUAAUAUCCACCUCACACAGUUGUGAGGUUUCAUGGGGCAGUGCUAGCAUACAUGCCAGCACCUGACACUUAGUAGGUGCUGCUGGAACUUAGGUUUCUGUUUUUCUCUCCUCUUUCCUCUCCAAAGAGAACAAGGUGUCUCUGCCAGGAUUAACAGAUCAAAACAACCUUUCUGGAAGUUUAGUUCAAGGGCAGAUCCUUUAGGGGAACAUGAACAGCUUUAUAAAUUGCCUUCAAAAGUAGCACCAAAUCCUUCAGUCAGUUUUAAAGGAACUGUUUACCACUGCAUAUGGCAGUCAUUAUUUGGAAUAAUAAACCCUCUGAGAAUCUGAACAUUCAUGGGCCAACAGAUGGGUCAACCUGCUUCACAAUUUAACAAAGUAAUUUAUUUCAAUCACCGGGACAGGGCAUGUGAAGAUUACUAAUUCAGUUCACAAGCGAAAGCAGCAAACACCACUUGGUUGCUGAAUUGUGCAGCCAUUAUGGAAAUGCACACCUGUUCAAUUGGUUUUGGGACAGUCUUCAUUUCGAUUAGGGUUUCGUUUCCUUCGAAGGUAUGUAUUAAAUUGCUAUGGAUUCUUCUGCUGAAAUGCAUGUGCUAAUUGGUGUCAGGAUGAGGAAAAGAUCUCCGUGAAAAUUUAUACUGUAGUGUAGAUGAAAUUAAGGUCAUCAAAGUUGACUUUGAGAAGUAGAACAGGUGUAUCAGAAGUAUAUUCUUAUAAUAAUUGGCCAAUGUGUUACUCCUUCUUUUUGAAGCAUUCUGCCAGCGUUUAUUGGGGAAGAAAAAAAGCCAGGAUUAUUUUUCUCUCAUCUUCAAAUCUGCUUAAAUCUCCCAGAUCUUGACUUUAUCUCUCUUAAUCCACGCUCACUUUGGAGCCAAAAAAAGAGAGAAAUAGAAAGGAUGGCCAGAGAGUUUCUCUGGAGAAGUUUCUAUGAGCUCAAAAGUGGAAUCCAAGGUGCUAAAGAGAACUGGGUGGUACUUCCCUUGAUAGUUCUCAUCUCCUCUCCCCAAUCCCAACACUUGAGUUGGACAGAAUUUCUUUGAUAGUGUCAGGAAGCUUCACAAAAAGAUGGUGCCUGGUUUGUAUUUGAGAGCUGCCAUAUAUUAGUUACAAUGACCAAAACCACAAGAUUGUUUUGUUGCCCUUUUUAAAAAGGAAGAUCCUUUUUCUCUUCUACAAUGUUCUUCUACACUUUGAUGUCUGUACCUAUUUUACUUCAAUAUAGAUGAGUUUCCUUUCUUACUAUCCCUGCCAAAUUAUUUAAUUUUUGGUUACCUUCUUUCUGCCAGACAUUAGGUUAGCUACUGGAAUUUCAACUAAGCAGAACACAAUUCUAUCCCUCAUGCAGGCAGGAAGAUGGUUAGAGAGGCAGCAGUUAUAACUCAGUGAAAAUAUUACUACAAUUGGGGGUAAAUGCAGAUUAUGACAGGACCCCUAGCCAGUGUUCUUAGAAGGCACUUCUAUAAUAUUUUUACAUUUCCAUGUACAUUAGAGCAGUAAAUUAAUAUCUCAAUUGGGCUGCAAAAUUGUGGUAUAUUUUCAAAGUUUGAAUUUAUCAAACUUCAACACCCACAUGAAUUCAAAGACUGUAUACAUUAACUCAUCUUCUCAGGCUGUUGGUGCUACCAUCAUAUAACAAAAUACUUAAGACUAGGUAAUUUACAAAGAACAGCAAUUUAGUCCUCAUAGUUUUGUGGGAUUCAAGGUUCAAAAUCUUAGAGCCAGCCGGUUUCUUGUCUGAUAAAAGCCUUGUCUCUGCUUCCAAGUUGGUGCCUUGUUGCUGCAUCCUCUGGAGAGGAUGAACUCUGUGUUUUCCCAGGGUAGUAGAGCAAAAGAGCAAAAAGGCUCUAAGCUAGUUCCCUCCAGCUCUAAAUCAGGCACUAGUCCAUUCAUGAGGGCAUGACUUAAUCAUUUCCCAAAAGACCCAGUCUUUUAACAUCACCUCAAUGGGGACUAAGUUUUAACCUAUGAAUUUUAUGAGCCACUCAGAUCAUGGCCUUCAUGUAGAGGCAAUGUCAAAAGUCUCAGUUUGAGAAAUUCAUGAAUACAAUGGGCCAAAUAGUCCUCUUUCUCUCCCAUCCCCACCCCUACCUAACAGCUCUGCAUUACCAGUUACUUCUUGGUUUCAUUUGGAUGUCUCCUCUCCCCAACUCCUGCCCUGCCCCGCCCCUCCCAAAGCUCAAAAUAUCUUAAACCCAGUUUUUUUUCCUUGUCCUGAACCACCAAAUCAGUUCUUCCUCACAAAAUCUCUUUUUCUGUGCGUAGCGAGACGGUAUUGUCAUUCACUUUGUACUCCUCCUUCAUCAUCGUUCCUUAAAAUGUGACCAGGUGUCAAGAGCUACUGGUUCUCCCUCGGCCCUAUGCCCUGAUCUCUUCCUGCCCUAUCUCUCCUCACUGUCAUUUUCCUCAUUUAGGGCCUUGCCAUUCACCUGGAUGGUUAUCAUGCCUUCCAUGAGGUUUCUCCUCUUCCUGCCUCUCACUAACAUUUCACCCCCUACUUGCUUGGUAAAUUGAUCCUCUUGGUACCAAGAUAUCUCCUGGCUCCCCACUGCCCACAGAAUUAAAUAGAAACUUGCCAGCCUGAGAGCUAAAACUCUUUCUGGAAUAGCCACAACUCCUAUCCCUCCCUCCACAUACUCUAGGCACAAAAUAAAUGAGAAUACUGACUAUUCCACAAACACAUAUUUGCCUCUCCACCUCUCAGCGUUUACAUAUGCCACUGCUGUACCUGCAGUGCCAUCCCAGAAAUUCUUCUUGGUGAAACUUUACCCUUCCUUUAAAGUCCACUUCAAAUGCUUCAGGAAACCUUCCCUUCUCCCCAACCCACUGCGUGGUGCUCCCUCUUUACAAUACUAGUAGCUCUUAGAUUCUUUUAAUAUCUUAUGGCUCUUACUUUUUCUAAUGUACCUAUUCCACAAAUACCUAGCAAGCAUCUAUUAGGAGCUAGACAUUAUGGCAUGUGCUGGGGAUAAAUGAGGUCUCAAUGAUCCCUUUCCUCACAGGAUUUAUAGUCUAAUGAAGGAGGCUGACAUGGAAACAGACAAUUCCCAGAGGGUGAUGAAGCAGGAGAGUGUCUGAUGGUAGCACAGAAAAGGGCUGCUUCAUAAGCAGGGACACCAAGGCAGAAGAGUUCACAGACAAAUAUCACCAUCAGCUAUCUAUGUUUUCAUUUAUACCUUCUAGGUGGACCUGUUCUUGAGGGAAACUGGCUCAUAUCAUUUCAUGUUCUGGAAGUCUAAGUAUUGUGCCUACACAUCAGCACUUAUAACUUUGGAAAGAUGUUUUUGCACAAAGCACCUGAGUCUGAAAUUUGCAUGAAGCUCCCUUCUGGAGAAAUAAAUGUCUCAGGGGAAAAAAGUAAAAUAGAAUAAAAUGACAAAAAUGAUUUUCAAUUCUAAAGCUUGAACUCUUUUCCAGAGCUUCAUUUAGUUAACUUGCUGUCUGCAUAAUUAGUUCCAUUUUAUAACUUUCAGAAAUAAGGCCACAGGCUUAGGAGCUGAGAUCACAAAAGAGUGUCUAAAGUCAAGUGGCUUUCCUGCAUCUGUUACUCACCUCAGAAACACCCCAGCACCCAUAGCAGAGUGCUUGACAGAGAGCCCACAGUUAGGGUUGGAUAAGCCAGUACUGAGCACUGUCUGUGUUGGAAGCUGGAGAGAGUUUUAUCUCGUAAAGUUCGUUUUAUAACUUUCAGACACACUUUUGUAAAGUGCUGGCUGGGAUCUAAGGAUUGGCAACUGUUUGCCAAACCCGUUCUUUUCCUUCCUGGGACAACUAGUCUGCAGUUCUCACCGCCUUUGCAGCUCACUUAGUCACAUGAUAGAGUUCUAGCCAAUGGAGUGUCCCCAUCCUAAUGAGUCCCUUCUAGGACUCACAUUCUUUCUCCUUGCUGCAAAGCUCCCUGUUGAAGAUGGCAGAGACAGAGGAGGCACCGUCAGGGUCCCUGCACCUGCAUGCCUGUCUAUCUGGCACACCACAUUGGACUGUUAGGUGAUCAAGAAAACAAGCUCCCACUAUGCUAAGCCACUGGGACUGGGGUUUAUUUGUUGGACACCUGGCAUAACCCUAACUGAAAAAUCCACUUUAUGUUGUGUUUGGAAAAUGAGGACAAAGAAGCAAAAUAUCUCUAAUGAGUUCUCUGUGAAACUAGACUUGCCCUGAGGUGGGCUGCUUGUCUUGUUUCUCUGAGUGCCUUCAGUGGACCUUUGGAAACUGCUGCUGUUUUGGAGCAAAUUUAGGUAGUUUCAAUAGUAUGUUUGAAGUUUUUCUGUGUUAAAAUUGAAAAAAAUUAGUAAUUUGUGGAUGCAAAUUCUUCAUAGCUUUCACAACUGAAGAAAACUUUCCAGAUGUUUCACAAAGCACUAAAAUACUGUACAUUGUUUUCUUUUUCAAUGGGAAAUUAUUCAUAGAGCAAUAAAAAGUUGUUUUUUCAGUAAACAGAUUAUGUUUCAGUCUGCGGUGUGAACACUUAAAUGGAACGAUGCAAUAUGCCACUUUUUAAAAGAGGGGUUUAAACAUGUCAGUACAAACCUUUCAAUCCUCUGUCCCAUAAAUUCAACUUUUUAAAAUGAAAUCAACCUGAGCCCUGUGAAAGCUCAUACUACUAUAUCAAAACCAGUGAAAUUUGCCUGUUUAUCGCCACCUUUGGAAUGUGGCAAAGAAACAUUCUUUUCAUAUGGGACAAUUUCUUCAACUUUACACCAAGUGAAAUUUAAUUGCUUUUCACUUCCUGGAAUCAUUAGGCAUUAGUUCUCCUGGAGGUGAAGCAAAAAGAGAAGCUGAAAAAUAAGUCUCUGUUUAAUACAUUUCACCUUCGAAUUUUAUCCUUCUUCCCUCUCCUACUGGUUAUACAGCAAGUUUGAGCCUGGGAAGCCACUUCAGAAACCUUUAAGAGUUCUCAUCAACACAGAUACAUUGACACAAAGCAGUUCUUCACGUCUCAACCAAUACUGUCAGUGAAACAAUUGGAAUGUCAGGUUCUUUGAAGUUAGCUUUUCAGAAUUUUUUUCCAAGAUAGAGUCUUGCUCUGUCACCUAGGCUGGAGUGCAAUGGAGCGAUCUUGGCUCACUGCAACCUCCACCUCCCUGGUUCAAGCAAUUCUCCUGCCUCAGCCUUCUGAGUAGCUGGGAUUACAGGUGCCUGCCACCAUACCUAGCUAAUUUUUGUAUUUUUAGUAGAGAUGGGGUUUCACCAUGUUGGCUAGGCUGGUCUCAAACUCAUGAUCUCAUGAUUCACCUGCCUUGGCCUCCCGAAGUGCUGGGAUUACAGGUGUGAGCCACAUCGCCCUGCCGGAAUGUUUUUAUCUUUACAGAAAUGUAGUAAGUGCAGUAGCAAGUAAGCAAACAGAAGCCCGAGCAAAGCCUUCUUCAGGCUAUGGUUGUGUCACAAUGGAGGAACAAUAGAAUUGUACAGAACAAGUAUAGUAGAGUAA